GACGGGGGGGGCAAGUGUUCUUCGGAAUGACUGGGCGUAAAGGGCACGUAGGCGGUGAAUCGGGUUGAAAGUGAAAGUCGCCAAAAAGUGGCGGAAUGCUCUCGAAACCAAUUCACUUGAGUGAGACAGAGGAGAGUGGAAUUCCGAGUGUAGAGGUGAAAUUCGUAGAUAUUCGGAAGAACACGAGUGGCGAAGGCGACUUACUGGACACAUAUUGACGCUGAGGUGCGAAAGCGUGGGGAGCAAACAGG
rnacentral:rRNA from 1 species